CGUAGGGGGCAAGCGUUGUCCGGAAUUACUGGGCGUAAAGGGAGCGUAGGCGGUCUUUUAAGUUAGAUGUGAAAUACCCGGGCUUAACUUGGGAGGUGCAUCUAAAACUGGGAGACUUGAGUGUAGGAGAGGAAAGUGGAAUUCCUAGUGUAGCGGUGAAAUGCGUAGAUAUUAGGAGGAACACCAGUGGCGAAGGCGACUUUCUGGACUAUAACUGACGCUGAGGCUCGAAAGCGUGGGGAGCAAACAGGAUUAGAUACCCUGGUAGUCCACGCUGUAAACGAUGAAUACUAGGUGUAGGGGGUAUCGACUCCCCCUGUGCCGCAGCUAACGCAAUAAGUAUUCCGCCUGGGGAGUACGGCCGCAAGGUUG
rnacentral:rRNA from 1 species